UACGGAGGGGGUUAGCGUUGUUCGGAAUUACUGGGCGUAAAGCGCACGUAGGCGGAUUGGAAAGUUGGGGGUGAAAUCCCGGGGCUCAACCUCGGAACUGCCUCCAAAACUGCUAGUCUAGAGUUCGAGAGAGGUGAGUGGAAUUCCAAGUGUAGAGGUGAAAUUCGUAGAUAUUUGGAGGAACACCAGUGGCGAAGGCGGCUCACUGGCUCGAUACUGACGCUCAUGUGCGAAAGUGUGGGUAGCGAACAGG
rnacentral:rRNA from 1 species